rnacentral:rRNA from 1 species
GCGAGUGAAGCGGCAAAAGCUCAAAUUUGAAAUCUGGCUCUUUCAGAGUCCGAGUUGUAAUUUGAAGAAGGUAUCUUUGGGUCUGGCUCUUGUCUAUGUUUCUUGGAACAGAACGUCACAGAGGGUGAGAAUCCCGUGCGAUGAGAUGAUCCAGGCCUAUGUAAAGUUCCUUCGAAGAGUCGAGUUGUUUGGGAAUGCAGCUCUAAGUGGGUGGUAAAUUCCAUCUAAAGCUAAAUAUUGGCGAGAGACCGAUAGCGAACAAGUACAGUGAUGGAAAGAUGAAAAGAACUUUGAAAAGAGAGUGAAAAAGUACGUGAAAUUGUUGAAAGGGAAGGGCUUGAGAUCAGACUUGGUAUUUUGUAUGUUACUUCUUCGGGGGUGGCCUCUACAGUUUAUCGGGCCAGCAUCAGUUUGGGCGGUAGGAGAAUUGCGUUGGAAUGUGGCACGGCUUCGGUUGUGUGUUAUAGCCUUCGUCGAUACUGCCAGCCUAGACUGAGGACUGCGGUUUAUACCUAGGAUGUUGGCAUAAUGAUCUUAAGUCGCCCGUCUUG